AGAAGAUGGUGGAGCCCACCGUAUAUGUGCCAAAGGCAGUAAGCGCCAUCAAGGAUUUUCAGACCAGUGUAAACACAGUUCAAGAAAGUGGGAAGAUAAGACAUAUUUAGAAACAAAAACUAGGCUUUCCAAGAAUGGAUUAUCAACUAGGCUAAUCCUAAAGGAUGGAUUUUAGGUAGAAGGAGAGCGAUGGUAGAUCGAGCCGCCAUAAAGGAAACAACAGAAUAGACUAGAGGAAAUCAAACGCAAAGGCCCCUGCAUGCCUGGCAGAGGCAACAAAGUCAGGAAGUUCAAGUGACAAGUGUCAGCUCCUGGUGGCUCCAAACAAAAGCACCACCCCCACCCUGAGAAACUGAAGCUUCAAUGUUACAGCAAAAGGCACAAAAAAACCAAACCAACGGUGCCUUAAAAACACACAGCUUUUGGUUCUACCACCUCUGGAUAGAAGACUUUUUUCCUCAGCCAUGCUAUGGAACCUUACUUGGCCCACACGGACAUAUGCUGGAUAUCAGUAUAUAUCUGGAUGACCACCAGACUAGUCCUUGUCACUGGCAAAGAGUGAAGCACAGGGAAUAUGAGAGAUGGAAAGUGUGGAAUAGAGAAGAAUGGAGACGGAAAGAGUGGGCACACAGAACUCCAGCCUCCCCAGCCUCUGAGGGGCCACUGAGGAAAGCCUGCCUGGACAGUGGGAAGGGGUGAGGUCCUUGCCGGGGCUACAAGAGGGUGACAAGGCAGAGAAGUUGGUCCGUUGCGUGCUGAGUGGAGGAGUAAAAUGUCUUUAAAUGAAGCCUGCGAUUCAGCUCGAGCAGGUGGGACUCACUGCAAAGUUAUCAUCUUACUCUGAAUCAAAAGGCCCAAUAAAAGUCCAGGAGCAGAAAAAUCCCGUGCCA
rnacentral:lncRNA from 1 species